GGAGGAAGGAGAAAGAGGGGAAGAAAGGAGCCCCCUUCUUUUAAGGAUACUUGAUAUUUGGCAUGUGUGCUCAGUCCGACUCUUUGUGACCCAUGGACUGUAUUCCACCAGGCUCCUCUGUCCAUGGGAUUUUCCAGGCAAGAGUACUGGAGUGGGGUGCCAUUUCCUCUUCCAGGGGAAUUUGCCCGCCCAGGGAUCGAACCCACAUCUCCCGUGUCUCCUGCAUGGGCAGGUGAUUCUUUACCACUUCUACCUAUAUCCCAUUGUUCAGAACAAAAUGGCCAAAACGAAUGUUGGAAAUGGUUGGAAUGUAGUCUUCAAUGUGGGCAUCCAACUGACCAGUGAAACAUUGGGUGGCCUAGUCCAUAUAUACAUAUAUGGACAAUUAAAUAUCUCUUCACAGUGUCCUCAGAAAAGAGGGAAUGUUUUGAUGCUGUUUUGAUAACUCUAGAGACCUUAGUGAGCCUGGAAACUCCUCUGUUUAGGUAAUUAGUUAGUUUUCCUCCUACCAGGAAUGGCACCUUUAAAUAGACCAACAUCUUCUAUUUUUGUCAGCAGGAGUGUGAGAAGCAAGAUCUCUUCAUUCACUCACUCGCUCAUUCAUUCAUGUAUCAGUACUGUCAUGGCAGAGAUGAUCAGCUCCUCACCACAUUUAUGUUUCCUAUCCAAAGUAUAGAGCUAUUCCUGGGAAGAAGUUGCUCAGCCUGGGGCUAGAGUUCUAAGCCUCUACCAUGGAGGUGGGCCCAUAUGAGCUGCUUUUUCUACUAGAAUGUGAACAGAGGAGACACAUUCCUUCUGGGAAAGAAGAAAAGAAAGAAACUGAAUGACUUCACUUCACUUGAAAUAUAUAUAUAUAAUGUAGAAAAAUGGUAUUGAUUAACCUAUUUACAUGGAAGGAAUGGAGACUCAGAUGCAGAGAAUGGACUUGUGGGCCCUGGAGAGGAAGGAGAGAGAGGGGCAAAUGGAGAAAGUAGCAUUGACAUAUAUACUCUGCUGCUGCUGCUAAGUCACUUCAGUCGCGUCUGAUUCUGUGUGACCCCAUAGACGGCAGCCCACCAGGCUCCCCCGCCCCUGGGAUAUAUCCUCUACCAGGUGUAAAAUAGAUAGCUGAUGAGAAGUUUCUGCAUAAUACAGGGAGCAAGCCGGGCACUCUGUGAUGACCUAGGGGCAUGGGAUGGGGGAAGGGAGGGAGGCUCAAGAAGGAGCCUCUUGCAUAUAUGUAAAUAUACAUAUAUGUAUAAUUAUGGCUUAUUUGUGUUGCACGGCAGAAACCAACACAACACUGUAAAGCAAUUUUCCUCCAAUUAAAAAAUAAAUUUAAAAAGAAGGAAGCGCUUCCCUGGUGGCUCAGUGGUGAUGAAUCCACCUGCCAAUGCAGGAGACAUGAGUUUGAUCCCUGGUCUGGGAAGAUCCCAUGUGCCUUGGGGCAACUGAGCCCAUGCAUCACAACUGUUGAGCCUGUGCUCUAGAGCUCUGGAACCACAGCUGCUGAACCUGUGGUUCAGCACAUGCACAGCUACUGAAGCCUGUGAACCCUAGAGCUUGUGCUCCACAAGAGAAGCCACAGCAAUGCGGAGCCUGUGUACCACAACUAGAGAGUAGCCCCCUCUCGCCUCAACUAGAGAAAAGCCCACAAACAACGAGAAUCCAGCACAGC
ensembl:lncRNA